rnacentral:lncRNA from 1 species
AAACGUUCCCAAAUCCUUCAAAUAUUGUUCAAACAUUUUAAAUCUAAAACUCCUUCACCACCUUUGCUUUGCCUCAAUUUGGUUUCUUUUUUUUAAUCACCAAAAACAUUUUGUAUUGGGCUAUAGCUGAUCUCAAUUUGUUUUUAAACAAUGGCUCCCCAAAAUGACUGCAAAGUUCCCAUGGGCCUAGGAAAGGAGAUGAAGUGUUGUCUCCCCUGCUCUAACAUUACUAUAGUUAAUGAGCUAUUGGAAGGGAUGAUAAUUUCUCAGUUCAGUAUGCUCUCUCCCCAGUCUGAAGAAUCUAAGGAAAAUCAUUUUUCCCUCCAAACACAAAUAGGCUCAGGUCACAAAUAUGAAACCCAGGAAGAAGAAGAUAAAAAAAAAAAAAACAAAACACAAAGCACAUCUCUUUCUUAGCCCCAAAUUAGUGUUUAACCAUACUGCUUAUGUAGAGUACAUUUUGUCAGAAGGGUAACAUUUGAAGUUGAAAAAAAAAACUAAAAACUUCUAGAAAAAAACAAAGGGUAAACCCUAG